CCUACGGGAGGCUGCAGUCGAGAAUCUUCGGCAAUGGGCGCAAGCCUGACCGAGCGACGCCGCGUGGAGGAUGAAGGCCUUCGGGUUGUAAACUCCUCAGGGGAGGAAGCCCUAUCCCUGGAGGAAGCACGGGCUAAGUUCGUGCCAGCAGCCGCGGUAAGACGAACCGUGCGAACGUUAUUCGGAAUCACUGGGCUUAAAGCGCGUGUAGGCGGAUGGGGACGUCGGUGCUGAAAUCCCCCGGCUCAACCGGGGAACGGGCACCGAAACGCCCCGUCUGGAGGGACGUAGGGGGACCUGGAACUUCCGGUGGAGCGGUGAAAUGCGUUGAGAUCGGAAGGAACGCCCGUGGCGAAAGCGAGGUCCUGGACUUUCUGACGCUGAGACGCGAAAGCUAGGGUAGCGAACGGGAUUAGAUACCCUUGUAGUC
rnacentral:rRNA from 1 species